rnacentral:lncRNA from 1 species
GAGGCAAUCUCUUUUUCCUCCGUGUGAGUCCUGUGAAGCCAAGAGAGCAACAAUAUACCCUUGCAAAGAAACAGUGUGACUAACUCACUCUCCUUCGGCACUGUGGAGUUGGGAGUAAAAUGGAGAAAUGCGGCAAUGGAUCAUGUUUGGCUGCAGUGCUCUUAGAGCAUCUAACAAUUAUUUGUUGACCAUGAGCUACAUCAUCAACACAUUGGAAGGGUGGUGGCGACUCAGAAACUGGCGGAAUAAUAAUGGAUGCUGCAGACACUGGAGGCUUUCUUGAGAAGUUGACCCUGAGCAAUGGGUACAGUUUGAAUAAUCAGAGAGCGCAGUAUUCCAGCGAGGGAAAUAUUACCAUGGAAGUCACCAAGGAUGAAGACCACGUGCAGAGAAGUCCCAGCCACCCCUAUCUUCCCAACUGAGGCACCAGAUAGGACAUCAAAAACAUUGGAGAGAGUACAAUCCAGAGGAAACUAGAAGAACCGCCAAGCUGAGAGCAGCCCAAAUUGUCAACUUGUAGAAUAAAUAGUUUUUAUUUUAAGCCA